rnacentral:rRNA from 1 species
GAUGAACGCUAGCGGCAGGCCUAACACAUGCAAGUCGAGGGGUAGAACACUUCGGUGUUUGAGACCGGCGCACGGGUGCGUAACGCGUAUGCAAUCUACCUUAUACAGGGGAAUAGCCCAGAGAAAUUUGGAUUAAUGCCCCAUAGCAUUACGACUUGGCAUCAAGAUGUAAUUAAAGUUCCAACGGUAUAAGAUGAGCAUGCGUCCCAUUAGUUAGUUGGUAAGGUAACGGCUUACCAAGACGAUGAUGGGUAGGGGUCCUGAGAGGGGGAGCACCCACACUGGUACUGAGAGACGGACCAGACUCGUACGGGAGGAAGCAGUGAGGAAUAUUGGUCAAUGGUCGCAAGACUGAACCAGCCAUGCCGCGUGCAGGAAGACGGUCCUAUGGAUUGUAAACUGCUUUUAUACAGGAAGAAACCCUCCCACGUGUGGGAGCUUGACGGUACUGUAGGAAUAAGGAUCGGCUAACUCCGUGCCAGCAGCCGCGGUAA